rnacentral:rRNA from 1 species
UACGACGGGGGCUAGCGUUGUCCGGAAUUAUUGGGCGUACAGCGCUUGUAGGCGGUUUGUCGCGUCUGCUGUGAAAUUUCGGGGCUCAACCCCGAACUUGCAGUGGGUACGGGCAGACUAGAGUGUGGUAGGGGAGACUGGAAUUCCUGGUGUAGCGGUGAAAUGCGCAGAUAUCAGGAGGAACACCGAUGGCGAAGGCAGGUCUCUGGGCCAUAACUGACGCUGAGAAGCGAAAGCAUGGGGAGCGAACAGG